rnacentral:rRNA from 1 species
UACGUAGGGACCGAGCGUUGUCCGGAAUCAUUGGGCGUAAAGAGCGUGUAGGCGGCCACUUAAGUCCUGCGUGAAAUCUUGCGGCUCAACCUCGAGACGUCGGCGGAAACCAUCUGGCUAGAGUCCGGAAGAGGAGAGUGGAAUUCCUGGUGUAGCGGUGAAAUGCGCAGAUAUCAGGAAGAACACCCGUGGCGAAGGCGGCUCUCUGGGACGGUACUGACGCUGAGACGCGAAAGCGUGGGGAGCGAACAGG